rnacentral:rRNA from 1 species
GACGAACGCUGGCGGCGUGCCUAAUACAUGCAAGUAGAACGCUGAAGGAGGAGCUUGCUCUUCUGGAUGAGUUGCGAACGGGUGAGUAACGCGUAGGUAACCUGCCUGGUAGCGGGGGAUAACUAUUGGAAACGAUAGCUAAUACCGCAUAACAGUAGAUGUUGCAUGACAUUUGCUUAAAAGGUGCAAUUGCACCACUACCAGAUGGACCUGCGUUGUAUUAGCUAGUUGGUGGGGUAACGGCUCACCAAGGCGACGAUACAUAGCCGACCUGAGAGGGUGAUCGGCCACACUGGGACUGAGACACGGCCCAGACUCCUACGGGAGGCAGCAGUAGGGAAUCUUCGGCAAUGGACGGAAGUCUGACCGAGCAACGCCGCGUGAGUGAAGAAGGUUUUCGGAUCGUAAAGCUCUGUUGUAAGAGAAGAACGAGUGUGAGAGUGGAAAGUUCACACUGUGACGGUAUCUCACCAGAAAGGGACGGCUAACUACGUG